UGGGGAAUUUUGGACAAUGGGCGAAAGCCUGAUCCAGCAAUGCCGCGUGUGUGAAGAAGGCCUUCGGGUUGUAAAGCACUUUUGUCCGGAAAGAAAUCCUUGGCUCUAAUACAGUCGGGGGAUGACGGUACCGGAAGAAUAAGCACCGGCUAACUACGUGCCAGCAGCCGCGGUAAUACGUAGGGUGCAAGCGUUAAUCGGAAUUACUGGGCGUAAAGCGUGCGCAGGCGGUUUGCUAAGACCGAUGUGAAAUCCCCGGGCUCAACCUGGGAACUGCAUUGGCGACUGGCAGGCUAGAGUAUGGCAGAGGGGGGUAGAAUUCCACGUGUAGCAGUGAAAUGCGUAGAGAUGUGGAGGAAUACCGAUGGCGAAGGCAGCCCCCUGGGCCAAUACUGACGCUCAUGCACGAAAGCGUGGGGAGCAAACAGGAUUAGAUACCCUGGUAGUCCACGCCCUAAACGAUGUCAGCUAGUUGUUGGGGAUUCAUUUCCUUAGUAACGUAGCUAACGCGUGAAGUUGACCGCCUGGGGAGUACGGUCGCAAGAUUAAACUUAAUGAAUUGACGGGGUCAUAGCUG
rnacentral:rRNA from 1 species